rnacentral:misc_RNA from 1 species
UUUCCGAAGGUGAACCUGCGGAAGGAUCAUUACAGAGUUCAUGCCCUCACGGGUAGAUCUCCCACCCUUGAAUAUUUAUACCUUAGUUGCUUUGGCAGGCCGUGGAAACACCAUGGGCUCCGGCUUAUGCGUGCCUGCCAGAGGAAACAAACUCUGUUUUUAGUGAUGUCUUAGUACUAUAUAAUAGUUAAAACUUUCAACAACGGAUCUCUUGGUUCUG